rnacentral:rRNA from 1 species
UACGGGGGGGGCAAGCGUUGUUCGGAAUUACUGGGCGUAAAGGGCUCGUAGGUGGCCAACUAAGUCAGACGUGAAAUCCCUCGGCUUAACCGGGGAACUGCGUCUGAUACUGGAUGGCUUGAGUUUGGGAGAGGGACGCGGAAUUCCAGGUGUAGCGGUGAAAUGCGUAGAUAUCUGGAGGAACACCGGUGGCGAAGGCGGCUACCUGGACAGAAACUGACGCUGAGGCGCGAAAGCUAGGGGAGCAAACAGG